UACGGAGGGAGCUAGCGUUGUUCGGAAUUACUGGGCGUAAAGCGCACGUAGGCGGCUUUGUAGGUUAGAGGUGAAAGCCCGGAGCUCAACUCCGGAACUGCCUUUAAGACUGCAUCGCUUGAAUCCAGGAGAGGUGAGUGGAAUUCCGAGUGUAGAGGUGAAAUUCGUAGAUAUUCGGAAGAACACCAGUGGCGAAGGCGGCUCACUGGACUGGUAUUGACGCUGAGGUGCGAAAGCGUGGGGAGCAAACAGG
rnacentral:rRNA from 1 species